UUUCAGGUCGGCUUUCUGUUGGCGCGGGGGCAUGGGCAGGGGCGGCCUUCUUGUUCGUCGCCGUUGCCUUUUUUAUCUCGCUUGCCGUGCCAGCUCGAGUCGUUGCCGUUGUCUCUCCCCUCUGGUACGUCCCGCUGCCGCUCCACGACAAGGACCCGCCGCAGCCCCUCCAGCGGCAGUGGGAGCCGGUGCUGCCGGAGAGGAAGGACGGAGAGGUGGGCCUUAACCCAAGAAGUACAAACAGUAGAUAGCCUAAUGAUGGUUUUAAUCUCUUAUUUUAGUUCAAAAGCCUACAAAUACGACACCUCGAAGAACUACUUCCAGGACAUACACCUGGAACCUUAUGUUCUUAACAGCGGGUUCCGUUCUUUUUAUCACUCUACGUGGCGAAACGGCAUGUACAUUAGUGGUCUAGUUCUUUUGUGGGAAGAGUUAACCAUGGAACACUUAUAGAAAAACCUGUGUUUCUGGGCCUCUGGACGUUUUCGACCCAACUCGUAGAGUCACGUACGUAUUUAUUACUUGUCCUGUCCGGGUUCUUGGACUACCACAAACAGGUAGGUGAAACACCUUUUCCAUCUCCAACGUUUUUAACCCUUUACCAUCGAGGAAAUAAACUGGCCCGCUUUCAUUUAUGUUUCCACUAUUAGUGCCUCUCUCGUCCUGUACGUAUACUGUGGAAUCGUAGUUAUAGUCUAUUUCUCGAGUUCUUUAAACUGCCACAACAACGUCACCCACCACUACCAAAUAAAUUACUUUAGGACUUACCUGAUGAUUUAAGCUCCUUAUUCUAAAGAAUAGGAGGUUGAGGUCUCCCGAAACCUAUAAAACCUUCGUGACUCUUUACGGUUCCUACGUCCUUGCUACCCGAUUUGUUGUCAUGCCGGUGUAGUCUACGACAUUUACAGUACGAGGCACACCCAAGGUUGUUUAGACUACUAGUACUUGGAGAAGAAAGCUGACCUUUUAGACAACAACCUAAUCUGUAGAGUAGUAAUUUAGGUUUAUGUCUUAGUAGAUGACCUCCAGUUACUCAUUGGCUUUGAGUCAAUAAAACAGAUAGAAUUUUGACGUUUUUUAAAUCCCGGUCGCUGUGCUGACUAUCGAAACAAAAUACAACUUUAACCAUGAUGACGUCUAGUUCAAGGAGGUCAGAAGAAGGGUUUACUAACCAAAUCCGAACCGUAUUAAGGAAGACCGAGUUGUCUACGAUAACAUGAGUCGUGUUGACCCCUUGCUCUACGACACUGAAGACGGGACGAAUAAUAGAAACCAUCUUCCUAUCGCGAACUAUAUCGAGUUCAUCAGUCCACCUUCUCAUCGGGUAGUCGACUCCAAAAUGGAUGACAUGCGAUACGUCGAAGUAAACGUCCUAUACCUAAAAUACCUCUUCAGUAUUCCCUCUCACUUUUGAUGGCUACCUACCCGGGACGUGCAAUACUAAAAAGACCUUGAUACCAGAAGGACUUCGUGUCUAGAAUACUACGUUUUCACCGAAAAGAACUCUUACUCUUGAGAGUAAGUAAACGACGUAGUCGUCUCUUACAACGUCUACUUCAUGUUGGUGACGUUAGAGCAUCUUUUUCUAGAGCGUUUUGUUAAACGGUUCGUUUAACAAGACAUACGUUUCUUUGAAGUUGCGGACCUGUUUUAAGUCUUCUACUCUAAGGUUUGUCGAGAGUUUGCUAAGUAUUAUUGGGUUUUACCUAGACCAGGCUCCCCGCAAAAGAUUCACAGCCACGUCGACAGUAAAGUACAGCGUUACUUUCUCGGGGACUACCGGAUCACCGACUUCGUGUGGAGAGUCUACCAAAAGAUGUGGAAGACGAGUAAUCUCUAACGGGAGAAGGGAAUAUAAACACCGUAGACUGUGUUAAAUGAUUCUUCCCCAGCCUGGGAAAUUGGAAGUUCAAACAACUUGUAGUAUUCUGUGCUCGUAAAUGGAAGUAGAGUAGUGUGCUGCUUUCGCAUACCUUGAACCUACCGCUCGAAAAAGUCCGGACGCUUCACAGACAGGUUCGAACGGCCCCGGAACAGUUGGAGAAGCGCAGUCCCGGUCUCCACAUCGUUACGGGGUAUUCAAUAUCGAAGGGAGGGAAGAAAGUGUUUCCCUUCUGUAGUCUUAUCAAUGACAACAUCUCAACAUCUUCUUGGAGUACAUCUAUAUCUAUACAUUUGACGCCAAGAGCAUGGUGCGUUAUUUCUUGGCCCGUCGCAAAAGAAGUUACAGGUUCCUUCCUUCUCGAUGUCUAAUACGAUUUUUUUUGUCUACUUAAAAGCACGCAGCGUUACGACAUUUUAAACGUAACGCCUGUGCCUAACUAGACCAAGAACGUCCUUCGAUUAAACCGUAUGCUGUUAUAAGCAACAUCGAGUUGUUGUGAAGCACAACCUUAACACAGCUUAUAACACAUGUUCCAUCCAAUGUCAACCUGAACAUCAACAUA
rnacentral:rRNA from 1 species